rnacentral:rRNA from 1 species
UACGGAGGGUGCAAGCGUUAUCCGGAAUUAUUGGGCGUAAAGCGUCCGCAGGUGGCUAUUCAAGUCUGCGGUCAAAGACUGGGGCUUAACCCUGGAAAGGCCGUGGAAACUGAAGAGCUAGAGUGCAGUAGGGGUAGAGGGAAUUCCCGGUGUAGCGGUGAAAUGCGUAGAGCUCGGGAAGAACAUCGGUGGCGAAAGCGCUCUGCUGGACUGCAACUGACACUCAGGGACGAAAGCUAGGGGAGCGAAUGGG